rnacentral:rRNA from 1 species
UAAUACGGAGGGUGCAAGCGUUAUCCGGAUUCACUGGGUUUAAAGGGUGCGUAGGUGGGUUGGUAAGUCAGUGGUGAAAUCCCCGAGCUUAACUUGGGAACUGCCAUUGAUACUAUCAGUCUUGAAUACCGUGGAGGUCAGCGGAAUAUGUCAUGUAGCGGUGAAAUGCUUAGAUAUGACAUAGAACACCAAUUGCGAAGGCAGCUGGCUACUCGGAUAUUGACACUGAGGCACGAAAGCGUGGGGAUCAAACAGGAUUAGAUACCCUGGUAGUCCACGCCCUAAACUAUGGAUACUCGACAUUUGCGAUACACAGCAAGUGUCUGAGCGAAAGCAUUAAGUAUCCCACCUGGGAAGUACGAUCGCAAGAUUG